rnacentral:misc_RNA from 1 species
CGCACAUUGCGCCUCUUGGUAUUCCGAGAGGCAUGCCUGUCUGAGUGUCAGUGGACUCUCUAAAAUAGCUGUGCUUUCACCAGUACAGUGUUUUUAGGUUCUGAGCAUUGAGAUGCGUCUCUAGCUUAAAAUUUAUGGGCGGUUAUUGCAGCUCGACCUUUUUGAUAGUGUUAUAGGUUCUACCAACUCGCUAGACAAAACGGAUUUGAAGAGUUAAAAAUUGCGCUGCCGAAAAUUAUGACGGAAAGAAAUUUCCUUCUAAACUGAACAUUUAGACCUCAGAUCAGGUAGGAGUACCCGCUGAACUUAA